rnacentral:rRNA from 1 species
UUCUAACGUGGACCCGUAAUCCGGGUUGCGGACAGUGUCUGGUGGGUAGUUUGACUGGGGCGGUCUCCUCCUAAAGAGUAACGGAGGAGCACGAAGGUUGGCUAAUCCUGGUCGGACAUCAGGAGGUUAGUGCAAUGGCAUAAGCCAGCUUGACUGCGAGCGUGACGGCGCGAGCAGGUGCGAAAGCAGGUCAUAGUGAUCCGGUGGUUCUGAAUGGAAGGGCCAUCGCUCAACGGAUAAAAGGUACUCCGGGGAUAACAGGCUGAUACCGCCCAAGAGUUCAUAUCGACGGCGGUGUUUGGCACCUCGAUGUCGGCUCAUCACAUCCUGGGGCUGAAGUAGGUCCCAAGGGUAUGGCUGUUCGCCAUUUAAAGUGGUACGCGAGCUGGGUUUAGAACGUCGUGAGACAGUUCGGUCCCUAUCUGCCGUGGGCGCUGGAGAACUGAGGGGGGCUGCUCCUAGUACGAGAGGACCGGAGUGGACGCAUCACUGGUGUUCGGGUUGUCAUGCCAAUGGCACUGCCCGGUAGCUAAAUGCGGAAGAGAUA